AAUCAAACACGGAUACAUCAGUGCAUCACUUGUCUUCACUCUUUCUUUCUAGUUUAUGCAGAGUUCUUUUCUCUUCAAGAAAAAAUCAAACACUCGUUGUGGUUUCAUUUCAUCAACGGAAAUGAAGAAUGGAAGAAAAAGAAUGAAUCAAUGUUGGGUCUUCAAUCUUCUGCAACAGUAGAGUUUUCAUCAACGGAAAUGAAGAAUGGAAGAUAAACUUUUUCUCGUUUUCAACGGUCCCGAGUGUCUUGAUGACCCAAAUAUUUUAAAUGAUGCUUAAUGUGAAAGCUAGUUGUUGCCUUAAAGACAAAAUGGCAUGAAUGGUAUCUAUUGUGCUUUGACGACCCUAAAUGCAAAUGCAAUUUUGCAACUACAAUAUGAAGUGAUUUUGCAAAUGCAAAGUGGAGUGUGCUCUUGAAGGUACAUUAUAAGUUUCACGGGAUCUUUAUUGAUCAUGGGCGACAUUAAUCAGCAGAACUUAGAUAUCAUAAGCAGGACUGGAAUAAAAACAGGCAUUGAUUCAAGGUUUGUUUUUGAAACCACAAUUCGUUGGUAAUGAGAAUGCUAUUGUUGCAGAGUUUGUUGCUACUCAGAAAGGAAAUUUGUGGUGGUGUACUUGAAAUGCCGCUUUCUCUAGCAAAACUAAGCUACACAACAAAUGUCAAUGAUUAAUUGGUUACCUCUUAUGGCUGUCCCAGUGGGAGCCCAAUGCUGAGAUGUUGCGGUUGGGUCAAAUUCUUUUGAUCAGUUACCAUUUAGUUUGCGAGGAAAAGGCCUCACGGAUUUCUCCUCUUUUGCGCCACCCCUUCUGAAAUUAUACAACUGCUAUAACUGGUAUUUGGAGAGAAGAUGCUGAAAGGUAUUGUUGGUAAAAUUAUAAAAGUAGAAUUAGAUGAGACCUAGUGACGAAAGGGAAAGUUAACUCUAAACUUCUAUUUUUGUUCCCUUUCUCUGCAUAAUGAGGAAUGUGUGUGACUGAAUUCUCUAUUUGAAAAGACAAAAUUCAAGUAUCAUGGCCAAUAGGUGAAUUCACGAGGUAUGUGUGAAUGAUGAACAUGAUUGAGAUUAAAUGCUUUGGUUUUGUUCAUCAAAGAUUUGUUAUGCCUUAUAAGUAACCACAAACAAUUGAUAUAUGUGCAUAAGUAAAUAUGAUUAUGCCGGUUGAUGUAUGACGAAACUCUUUUAUAAUAUGCUUUGAAUGCUUGUUUGGUAAAUUGACUUAUUACAUGACACUUAGACAUAUGACAUGCAAGGUUGAAAGGGGGUUGUAAGGACUAGCACCUCAUACUUUAAUUGCUUCAUGCUCUGAUAGACUAAAAAUGAAUCAUUUCAAGAAUGACAGCGGUUUAGAUCAUCAUAGAAGUAUAUGGAUAGAUAGUUAGUUAGCAAAACCAUAGGUAAUGAUGCAAGAUGGCUUAGAGUUUCAAAACUUAGACUUUCAGAUUUUGUGUCUUUUAGUAUACAAAAUUUUUCUGCAUAAAUAAGGUCGCAGUGCUACCUAUAUAGUUACCUUAAAAUAAACUGAUAAUACUAACUAAAAUUAGUAUAUGCAUAU